rnacentral:rRNA from 1 species
AACUCUGAGCAGUGGAUCACUCGGCUCACGGGUCGAUGAAGAACGCAGCCAGCUGCGAGACUUGGUGUGAAUUGCAGGACACAUUGAGCACUGAUUUUUCGAACGCGCAUUGCGGUCUCGGGUGAUACCCGGGACCUCGCCCUGUCUGAGGGUCG